rnacentral:rRNA from 1 species
UAAUACGGAGGCCCCAAGCGUUGUUCGGAUUUACUGGGCGUAAAGCGUGCGUAGGCGGCGAGGUAAGUUUGGCGUGAAAGCCCCGGGCCCAACCCGGGAAAUGCGCUGAAAACUACUUCACUAGAGGUGUGGAGGGGAGUCUGGAAUUCCUGGUGUAGCAGUGAAAUGCGUAGAUAUCAGGAGGAACAUCAGUGGCGAAGGCGAGACUCUGGAAACAUUCUGACGCUGAGGUACGAAGGCUAGGGUAGCGAAGAGGAUUAGAUACCCUCGUAGUCCUAGCAGUAAACGGUGUGCACUUGCUGUAGGAGGAUUCGACCCCUUCUGUGGCGAAGCUAACGCGUUAAGUGCACCGCCUGGGGAGUACGGCCGCAAGGUUA